UACGUAGGGUGCGAGCGUUUGUCCGGAAUUAUUGGGCGUAAAGGGCUCGUAGGCGGUUUGUCGCGUCGGGAGUGAAAACCAUGGGCUUAACUCAUGGCUUGCUUCCGAUACGGGCAGACUAGAGGUAUGCAGGGGAGAACGGAAUUCCUGGUGUAGCGGUGAAAUGCGCAGAUAUCAGGAGGAACACCGGUGGCGAAGGCGGUUCUCUGGGCAUUACCUGACGCUGAGGAACGAAAGCUAGGGGAGCAAACAGG
rnacentral:rRNA from 1 species